UACGGAGGAUCCAAGCGUUAUCCGGAAUCAUUGGGCUUAAAGGGUCCGUAGGCGGUUUAGUAAGUCAGUGGUGAAAGCCCAUCGCUCAACGGUGGGACGGCCAUUGAUACUGCUAGACUUGAAUUAUUAGGAAGUAACUAGAAUAUGUAGUGUAGCGGUGAAAUGCUUAGAGAUUACAUGGAAUACCAAUUGCGAAGGCAGGUUACUACUAAUGGAUUGACGCUGAUGGACGAAAGCGUGGGUAGCGAACAGG
rnacentral:rRNA from 1 species